UGCGUAGGUGGGUUGGUAAGUCCGUGGUGAAAUCCCCGAGCUUAACUCGGGAACUGCCGUGGAUACUAUCAAUCUUGAAUAUCGUUGAGGUAAGCGGAAUAUGUCAUGUAGCGGUGAAAUGCUUAGAUAUGACAUAGAACACCGAUAGCGGAGGCAGCUUACUAAGCGAUUAUUGACACUGAGGCACGAAAGCGUGGGGAUCAAACA
rnacentral:rRNA from 1 species